rnacentral:lncRNA from 1 species
GAGCUUAUACCUAGGACAACUUUCAUAAGCUUACAUAUGGAAUAGCCUCUAGGAGCUUGUGCUUGGUAUAGACUCUACGAGCUUAUAUAAAGGAAUUUGAUUAGUCAUGGACUGGAGCAUGAUCUUGGUUAGUCCAAAGUCGAAAAAAAGAUUAAGAAAUCUAAAAUUGUGAUAAGAGAAAUAGAUGAUAAGAUACAUGAAACU